CCUCUCCUUGCCUCUUGGUCCUCCUCAGGUUCCCUGGCAGACUAUUCCAGAGGCUGAGGGCGUAGUAACUAAAAGCUGCCUCUCCAUGCCUCUUGGUCCCAGACUUUUGGAUAGUUUAACAUACUGUACUGUACAUAAUCAUCAUCUAUCUGUGUCACGCCCUGAUCUAUUUCACCUGUCUUUGUGAUUGUCUCCACUCCCCUCCAGGUGUCGCCCAUCUUCCCCGUUAUCCCCUGUGUAUUUACACUUGUGUGUUUUCUGUUUGACUCAUGCCCGUUCGUCUUAUUUGUCAAGCUUAACAGCGUUUGUCCUGUCAGCUCCUGUCUUUUCCCAGACUCUCUUUUUCUCGCCCUUCUGGUUUUUGACCACUCUGCCUGCCCCUGACCCUGAGCCUGCCUGCUGUCCUGUAGCUUUGCCUCUGUUGCUUCUGGGUCUUACCUUAUCCUGAUAACACGAUCUGAUCUACAUUCAACCGUAAUGAACACAUAAUCUGAUCUGAUCUACAGUCAACCAUAAUGAACACAGUUAUUCCAGUUAUAGAUAAUGAACACAGUUAUUCCAGUUAUGCACAAUGAACACGGUUAUUCCAGUUAUCCAUAAUGAACACAGUUAUUCCAGUUAUCCAUAAUGAACACACUGUCACGCCCUGACCUGAGAGAGACGUUUUUCUCUGUUUAGUUAGGUCAGGGUGUGAUAUGGGGUGGGCAUUCUAUGUGUUAUAUUUCUAUGCUUUGGCCGGGUAUGGUUUCCAAUCAGAGGCAGCUGUCUAUCGUUGUCUCUGAUUGGGAACCAGGCAGCCUUUUCCCACCUGUGUUUUGUGGGUAGUUGUUUUCUGUUUUGUGUUUUACCUGACAGAACUGUGCACUUUCGUUUCCAUUGUUUAUUAUUUUGUUUAAGUGUCCUGAGAAAAAAUAAAUAUCAAGAUGAACACUUCCCACGCUUGGUCCCCUCAUUGCGACGGUCAUUAAACACAGUUAUUCCAGCUAUCCAUAAUGAACACAGUUAUUCCAGUUAUACAUAAUGAACACAGUUAUUCCAGUUAUGUAUAAUGGACACAGUUAUUACAGUUAUGCACAAUGAACACGGUUAUUCCAGUUAUCCAUAAUGAACACAGUUAUUCCAGUUAUACAUAAUGAGCACAGUUAUUCCAGCUAUACAUAAUGACAUAUCAGCAAAAGCUAUUCUUGUCUUUCUUUUCUGUUAAAACAACAGCCUCUCUAGUUCUGGAUGUCGCUGUGUCUAAAAGACAGGAAGACACGCAGCAGCCAUAUGUUCAAAACAAUACCCACCAGACAACACACACACACACACACACACACACACACACACACACACACACACACACACACACACACUCUCCAGGCUCUUCCUGUCCUCGUCCAGUGUGGUGUUACAGGCAUGGUUUUUUUCUUCUCUAUUCUCUUCUCCUCUCUGUUCCUUCACUCUGCAGACGAGUGGAAAACAGCAAGGGUCUCUGAUAGACCAAGAGGCUGCUCACUGUCCCAGUGGGUGAUUGUUUCUGUGUGUGGGUGUGUGGAGGCUGGUGACUUGAGCAAUUGAGGAAGAUUGGAGAACCAAGAUUUAAAGGUAUGGAGACGAUAAAGCAUUUAAAAUUAUUUUAAUAUAAAAUGUUUAAAAAAUACAAAAUAUUAUGGGGAUUAGGAAUGAGAGGGCUACUUACACAGUGUCGGGAAGGGAUCACAGCAGUGAUUGAAUGAUUGUAUGAGGAAUUAGUUGAGGUUUUCAGAGGCUUGACUUCAGUGGAGGACAGGGGUUGAGGUGUUCAGAACCUUAACUUCAGUGGAGGACAGGGGUUGAGGUGUUCAGAACCUUAACUUCAGUGGAGGAUAGGGGUUGAGGUGUUCAGAAGCUUGACUUCAGUGGAGGAUAGGGGUUGAGGUGUUCAGAACCUUAACUUCAGUGGAGGACAGGGGUUGAGGUGUUCAGAAGCUUAACUUCAGUGGAGGACAGGGGUUGAGGUGUUCAGAAGCUUGACUUCAGUGGAGGAUAGGGGUUGAGGUGUUCAGAAGCUUAACUUCAGUGGAGGACAGGGGUUGAGGUGUUCAGAAGCUUGACUUCAGUGGAGGAUAGGGGUUGAGGUGUUCAGAAGCUUGACUUCAGUGGAGGAUAGGGGUUGAGGUGUUCAGAGGCUUCAGUGCAUGGACAGGCUCCUCAUGGAUGAAUGGUGUUGGAGAAGAGAUCAACUCUUCCACAGGGUGCAGGACAGGAUUUGAAUUGUAAAACUAAAAACUAUAGAGCUAAGGAUUCAAAUCACACAGAUGUGUAAUAAUGUGAUUGUGUAUGUGAUUGACUCUACAUACAGUAAGGGAGAGACAGGGCUACUCACAGUGCUUGAAGGGGAAACAUUGAAUGCACCAGUGAAAGAGAGGGCACAUGAAACAUGGCUUCCAUUCAUGACAGGAGAGAGUUGACACUGGUAGUGGAGUGGAGUGGUCAUCGCCUCUCAAUC
rnacentral:lncRNA from 1 species